AUGGUGAGGUCCAACUCCCUCGACAGCUGCUACUCCUCCAUCCAGGACGUCACCUACAGCUGCGGGUACUGCGGCUACGCGCUGAACCUGAGCUCGGCGGCGCGGAACACGGCGGGCAUCGGCUCCAAGUACGGCAAGAAUAUCAGGAAGAAGGGCGUCGUCGCCUUCGUCGCCGUCGACGAGACGCGCUUCACGCAGGCCGACGAGGUCACCUGCGCGCCCCGCCUCUGCCCCUGGACCUGGCGCCUCUUCAGGCGGAGGUCGCGCCUGCUCUGCGGCAAGUGCGGCGGCCGCAUCGGCGCCGCCUACGAGGUCGACGAGGACGAGGACCCCGCCGGCCUGUCCGCGUGCGGCGGCUCGGACGACGACGACGACCUGCGGACGAGCCCGGGCGACGAUAGCGGCGGCGUCGGCGCGUCGAGGCGCAGGAACUACCUCAUCAGGAUCGGCGCGCUGCAGCCCUCGACGGACGAUCCCCCUCCUGCUGACCCCUUCUCUCUAUGA
rnacentral:rRNA from 1 species